UGMAGGCAUCUCAAGUUCCUCAAUUGCAUAGAGAACAAAGCCUUGAAAGGUCACGUGUUCAGUAUAAUCAAACUGAAAACACCAACACUACUAGCGUGCCAGCGUAACUGUUUUCUUAGAAAGCUAUGUGUUUCUUACAACUUGGGUCCAGUAAUUAGGCAGGAUUUAAGGUUCUGUGAGUUGAAUGCUGCUGAUCACUCGAUGCGACCGAGUUUUUUGAGCAAGAGAAUAGGCUAUARAUAUUGUCCAAUUCAGAAUUCCUGUUUGUCUAAUCCUUGUCCAGAAGGAAGACUCUGCACUCCUGAUUUAGCCUGGAAYACGUACAGCUGUGAUAAUGGAGGAUGGACUCAGUGGGGGUCGUGGUCUGAGCAAUGUUAUUAUAUAGCGMCAUUUUGUGCCAAACGAAGAAAUAGAACUUGYACRAGUCCUGCUCCACRGCUAAACGGUACUAGCUGUUUGGGACGAAACAUAGGAUUAAAGAAAUGUCCGCCCCAACCAAAG